rnacentral:tRNA from 1 species
GGAGAGAUGGCAGAGUGGUCGAUUGCGGCGGUCUUGAAAACCGUUGAGGUGCAAGCCUCCGGGGGUUCGAAUCCCUCUCUCUCCG